GAUGAACGCUAGCGGCAGGCCUAACACAUGCAAGUCGAGGGGUAGAGUUUCUUCGGAGACUUGAGACCGGCGCACGGGUGCGUAACGCGUAUGCAAUCUGCCCUUUACUGGGGAAUAGCCCGGAGAAAUUCGGAUUAAUGCCCCAUAUGCCCGUAGAAUCGCCUGGUUCAGCGGGGAAAGUUCCGACGGUAAAGGAUGGGCAUGCGUCCCAUUAGCUAGUUGGUGAGGUAACGGCUCACCAAGGCGACGAUGGGUAGGGGGCCUGAGAGGGUGAUCCCCCACACUGGUACUGAGACACGGACCAGACUCCUACGGGAGGCAGCAGUGAGGAAUAUUGGGCAAUGGAGGCAACUCUGACCCAGCCAUGCCGCGUGCAGGAAGACGGCCCUCUGGGUUGUAAACUGCUUUUGUUUGGGAAUAAACCCUUCUACGUGUAGGAGGCUGAAGGUACCUUACGAAUAAGCAUCGGCUAACUCCGUGCCAGCCGCCGCAGUAAAAC
rnacentral:rRNA from 1 species